UAGUUGAGCGCACAGAACUAUGUCUGUGGGCGGCACACUGCUCAGUAACACGUAGCUAACCUACCCUUAGGACGUGGACAACCCCGAGAAAUUGGGGCUAAUCCGCGAUAGAUGUAAUGUCCUGGAAUGGUAUUACGUCCAAAGGUAUCCCAUACAUGUUUGGUAUACGCCUAAGGAUGGGGCUGCGGCCGAUCAGGCUGUUGGUGAGGUAAUGGCUCACCAAACCUUUGACCGGUACGGGCCAUGAGAGUGGUAGCCCGGAGAUGGACACUGAGACAAGGGUCCAGGCCCUACGGGGCGUAGCAGGCGCGAAACCUCCUCAAUGCACUUACGUGCGAAGGGGCUACCUCGAGUGCCACCUGAUGAAGGUGGCUUUUCCUAGGUCUAAAAAGCCUUGGGAAUAAGAGGGGGGCGAGACUGGUGUCAGCCGCCGCGGUAACACCAGCCCCUCGAGUGGUGGGGAUGAUUAUUGGGCCUAGAGCGUCCGUAGCCUGCCGUAUAAGUUUCCCGUUAAAUCCAGCGUCUCAAGCGUUGGACUGCGGGAAAUACUGUACGGCUAGAGAGUGGGAGAGGUCAGCGGUAUUCUGGGGGUAGGGGCGAAAUCCUUUGAUCCCCGGAGGACCACCAGUGGCGAAGGCUGCUGACUAGAACACGUCUGACGGUCAGGGACGAAAGCUGGGGUAGCGAACCGGAUUAGAUACCCGGGUAGUCCCAGCCGUAAACGAUGCAUGCUAGGUGUUGGGUUGGCCACGAGCCACCCCAGUGCCGCAGGGAAGCCGUUAAGCAUGCCGCCUGGGAAGUACGAUCGCAAGGUGAAACUAAAGGA
rnacentral:rRNA from 1 species